ACGUCAAAUCAUCAUGCCCUAUAUGUCCUGGGCUACACACGUACUACAAUGGGUGUAACAAAGAGAAGCGAAGCAGUGAUGCAGAGCGAAACUCAAAAAGCACCCCCAGUUCGAAUUGAAGGCUGAAAUUCGCCUUCAUGAAGUUGGAAUUGCUAGUAAUGGCAGGUCAGCAUACUGCCGUGAAUACGUUCCCGGGCCUU
rnacentral:rRNA from 1 species